UUUGCUUCCCCGGGGACUAGCAUUGUGAAUGGUCCUCAACUCUUUAACUCAAUAUUUGAUGGAUGCAUGAUUCUAUAUAAUAUACUAUGGAAAAACUGAUGAUAGAGUCAUUCACUAUGCUGGUCACACUGAAUAAAACAUUUGAACCAUCAUGUUAACAAAGCAAACAGGCAUCUGUGACAUGUGAGAAGAUUUGAAGUUGCCCAGGACAGAGCCCCUACUUAGAAGAUAUCUCCCAGCAUCUCAGAUUGAAGAUACAUAAUUGUUUUCACCAAACUUAAAGAAACAGCACUCAAGAGAAAAUGCCUCUUACUGUGUACGAGAUGUUCCCACAUCAGCAAGUUUUACUGUAAGAGAAGAUGUGCUCUGAGAAGACUUCCACGGUGGAUAUGGCCUCGCCUUGGGCUCUGGCUCUGUUUCCAAACUUGUCACACAGACUGGUGCAUGAGCACCCUUGGUACUGCCCUUGUCUGUCAAGCUGGGCCACAGGUGAAUUAUACCAUUGGCAGAGAAACUAGAGUGAAGCCCACAGACGUGCCUGAUGGAACCAAGAUCGUGAAGAGUAGUCAAGAGCUCAAGUAUUACUUGUAUGAUAAAAGUAAAAAACAAAAGCAUACAGGUAAUCUGGUGAGCAGCUGAGACAGAAUGUCUGGGUUCCCAUUGAGUGGCUGAUGGAGGAUUGAAGAAGAAGAUGCUCUGGUCUCAAACCUAGAGGAGAAAAUUGUCUUUCUCGUAUAUUCACUUCCUUUGGGAUCUUCCUGACCCAGGGAUUGAACCCAAGUCUCCUGCAUUAGCAAGAGGAUUCUUUCACCACUGAGCCACCGGGUAGGAACUAAAUACUUUGUAUUUGUUGAAGAAAAGAAGGAAGGAAAGUAGGGAGAAACGAAGAUAAGGCGUUAUUCUCAUCGUGGAGAAGCUUACAGCUGGGGAGGGAGAAACACAACAGACUAAUGUAAAACAAGAUUGUGCGGCACUAGAGAGCCUUGUCCCUGGAUGCGUGGUGUGCAGAGGAGGAAGAAGCCACUGUGGCCUGGAGCCAUCACAGAAACCUUGCAGUACAAGCAAUCUCAAUUAGCUCCAGAGAAUGGAUGGGUUCUGGAGAGGUGAAGAGCAGGAGAGAGAUUAUCUUUGGAAGUGGGAGGGUCUGACAAGGCUGGUGGUUGAGGGUGUAGAAAGGAGGGAGUGCUUCCUUAACACUGUAUUUUUAAAGGAAGCAGUGGGUUUUGUGAGAAUGGCGAGAUGGAUUGUUUCUUUCAAUAAAUAUUGUGGAGUGCCUACAAUCUGCUAUGACAGAGGAGACCAUCGACGCAAACUCCUCCAUGCUCAGGCUGAGAGAGUGCUGCUGUUGAGAAGGAACGCUUGCAUUUUGGAACGCUGUUAAGAUUUGAGUAUGUAAUAACUUCAGUGCAUCUGGCUCAGCACAUUUAUUUUGAGAUUUUAUGGCUGCUAUCAUCUGCUCAGAGUGUGUGUUUCUCUCUUUAAGAUAAGACUGAGGUCACAGUUGUUUUCUGUUACCACUGAAAUUUCUUUCUUUCCUUUUUUUAAUUUUACUGUUUUUGUAUUUUUUUUGCUCAGUUUCAGUUAGUGAAAUAUAUAAAGAUGUAUUUAUCACUAUUAAUGUUAUUGUAAUCAUUACUUUUUACUGUCAUUCAGUUCUAAUUAAAGACACUGCUGCAUCCAUUACCAUC
ensembl:lncRNA